UACGGAGGGUGCGAGCGUUGUCCGGAAUCACUGGGCGUAAAGGGCGCGUAGGCGGCGCGGGAAGUCCGUGGUGAAAGCCUGAGGCUCAACUUCGGGUCGGCCAUGGAUACUCCUGGGCUUGAGCACUGUAGAGGCAGGUGGAAUUCCGGGUGUAGCGGUGGAAUGCGUAGAGAUCCGGAAGAACACCGGUGGCGAAGGCG
rnacentral:rRNA from 1 species